GGCCUAUCAGCUUGUUGGUGGGGUAAUGGCCUACCAAGGCGACGACGGGUAGCCGGCCUGAGAGGGCGACCGGCCACACUGGGACUGAGACACGGCCCAGACUCCUACGGGAGGCAGCAGUGGGGAAUAUUGCACAAUGGGGGAAACCCUGAUGCAGCGACGCAGCGUGCGGGAUGACGGCCUUCGGGUUGUAAACCGCUUUCAGCAGGGAAGAAGCGAAAGUGACGGUACCUGCAGAAGAAGUACCGGCUAACUACGUGCCAGCAGCCGCAGUAAUACGUAGGGUACGAGCGUUGUCCGGAAUUAUUGGGCGUAAAGAGCUCGUAGGCGGUUUGUCACGUCGUCUGUGAAAUCCUAGGGCUUAACCCUGGACGUGCAGGCGAUACGGGUUGACUCGAGUACUACAGGGGAGACUGGAAUUUCUGGUGUAGCGGUGGAAUGCACAGAUAUCAGGAAGAACACCGAUGGCGAAGGCAGGUCUCUGGGUAGUAACUGACGCUGAGGAGCGAAAGCAUGGGUAGCGAACAGGAUUAGAUACCCUGGUAGUCCAUGCCGUAAACGUUGGGCGCUAGGUGUGGGCCGCAUUCCACGUGGUCCGUGCCGCAGCUAACGCAUUAAGCGCCCCGCCUGGGGAGUACGG
rnacentral:rRNA from 1 species